rnacentral:piRNA from 1 species
UCAUGAAUAAAAUAGUAUCUCACAUCAAU